rnacentral:rRNA from 1 species
GUAAGGGAAUCUUCCACAAUGGACGCAAGUCUGAUGGAGCAACGCCGCGUGAGUGAAGAAGGUCUUCGGAUCGUAAAACUCUGUUGUUAGAGAAGAACACGAGUGAGAGUAACUGUUCAUUCGAUGACGGUAUCUAACCAGCAAGUCACGGCUAACUACGUGCCAG